AUACAGAGGGUGCAAGCGUUGUUCGGAAUUAUUGGGCGUAAAGCGCGUGUAGGCGGCAUGGCAAGUCGGGUGUGAAAGCCCUCAGCUCAACUGAGGAAGUGCGCCCGAAACUGUCGUGCUUGAGUACCGGAGAGGAGGGCGGAAUUCCCCAAGUAGAGGUGAAAUUCGUAGAGAUGGGGAGGAACACCAGUGGCGAAGGCGGCCCUCUGGACGGAUACUGACGCUGAGACGCGAAAGCGUGGGUAGCAAACAGG
rnacentral:rRNA from 1 species